CCUACGGGAUGCAGCAGUGGGGGAUAUUGCACAAUGGGGGAAACCCUGAUGCAGCGACGCCGCGUGUGGGAAGACGGUCCUCUGGAUUGUAAACCACUGUCCCCAGGGACGAAGAUGACGGUACCUGGGGAGGAAGCUCCGGCUAACUCCGUGCCAGCAGCCGCGGUAAUACGUAGGGAGCGAGCGUUGUCCGGAAUUACUGGGUGUAAAGGGAACGUAGGCGGGGAUGCAAGUUGGGUGUCAAAACUACCGGCUCAACGGGUAGUCGAACGAAAAACUGCAGCUAUUGAGUGAAGUGGAGGCAGGCGGAAUUCCUAGUGUAGCGGUGAAAUGCGUAGAUAUUAUGAGGAACACCAGUGGCGAAGGCGGCCUGCUGGGCUUUUACUGACGUUGAGGCUCGAAAGUGUGGGGAGCAAACAGGAUUAGAUACCCUGGUAGUC
rnacentral:rRNA from 1 species